UGAAGGGAACCGAUUACAUCUUCGGCGACUUCCUUCGCUGUCGUUAUGAAGCACUUGAUUUUCAUCGGCGUGAUCGUUGUUUGUGUAGCUUGGUCAGGUGCACGUGUUCCCAUACACCAGGUGCACGUGUUCCCGUCCCCACUUCCUUUGAACCUGGAGGUCGGCGAUGUCUGUGUGAGUAGCUCCCAGUGCCUGUCCGACUGCUGUCUCCUUGGCGACCCCGUAGGUGACGCAGGACAGGCCUGCUUCCUGAAGGGCAAACCUGGUGACAGAUGCAACGACGAAGAAAUCAAGGGUGGUGUGCAAACAGACUUCUGCCCUUGCGAAACGGGGACCUGCGGUGUUGACGGAGUCUGCCCCUUGUGAAGAUGAAGAUAUUGCACCAGACAGCCGUCUCUAGCUGAAUAAGCUCCAUCAAAUAAAGUGAUGCUCUCGGUAAAAUGA